CACCACCAAGUCCUAAAACCAUUGUUACAAUGUCGCCGCCGCCACCUCCAAGCCCAUCAAAACAUGUUCCAAGCCCACCUAAAAGUGUUAUAGGCCCACCUCAAGUAUACUUGCCACCUAUUGUUUAUCCACCACCACCUUCAACUCAUAAGAAGCCACCACAAUAUGCUAUUUGGUGUGUGGCAAAGCCUACAGUUCCUGAUCCUAUAAUUCAAGUGGCUAUGGAUUAUGCCUGUGGGUCUGGGGCUGACUGUAAAUCAGUUCAGCCUAAUGGGAUAUGCUUUCAGCCCAACACAGUGUUGGCACAUGCUUCUUAUGCAUUUAAUAGCUAUUGGCAGAACACUAAGAUUGGUGGGGGGACUUGUGAUUUUGGUGGUACUGCUAUGCUUGUCACUGUUGAUCCAAGUAAGUUUGCACUACGUACCAUAUUUGAUUACCUUUGUUAAAGAGAUUAAUUUUCAUAUAUUUCAUUUUUUUUUGUAAGUAAUUUUUCCAUGUAUUUCAUGUUCUACACUGUUAGCACAUUUACAUGUUGAUCUAAUGAUAAAAAAAAAAAAAAAAUUUUGAAUCGGCAAAAUAUUAUAUGUAUGGACCGUAAAAGUUGAUUAUGAUAAAAUUUAAACAGUUGAUUAGGAUAAAUAAUUUAAUUUUUUGGUACAAAUAAUAAAAUAAAUUUUAAUGAAAUUAUAUGACAAAAUUAACACUUCACAUGUUUCAUAUAUAUCGAGAUUCUUUUUUUGUUACAAUGAGAUCCUUUUAUUUAGCUGUUAGUUAAGUCAUUUCACAUCACAUCACAUACUAUAUAUAUCCACACAACAGGCAUAUGCCACUUGAUUUCUUUUAAAUUGGAAUCUAUCCGGGUAGAGAAAACAUGAAUUCAUGACAUCGGUAGCCGGCGUCUGAUUAAAAAUAAAGGUUUUUUUUAAAUUACCUUUAAAGAAUGGUGGGUAAUUUAUCCACCAACCAAUGAAAAUGAGCAAUUUAUUUGUGGAGUCAAGAUAGUUCAUGAAUAUGUGUUUAUGUGGCUAAUGUGUAUUGGUUGGGGUAAAUUACCCAUCAUUCUUUCAUGGGUAGCCUAGUUGCCACCAAAAAUAAAUGGUUCAAAUAAAUAUAUAUUUUAAUUUAUAAUUUAAAAAAAUAUCAAAUUUAAAUAUGAAUGGUUUAAUCUUGAUCAAACAACUAUUGAUGUGCUAUUGUGUGAUGUGUGCUUGAUCCCCUUUCUUCUUUUGAGGUGCAUUCUUCAUUGUCACACUCGGUGGUAUUAGAUUCGCGCACAGUCACUUAAAGCCCACAUUCACCUAUUCAAAACGUUGUUGACUUAUAUGGAUCAAGAUCUAAAGGAAUUUUAAGCUGGUUUUUAAGAUAAAAAACAAAAAUCAAACCUUAAAACCUGCAUUGUUCGAUCUAGAGUCAACGAUCACCGACAUGGUGAAAGUGAAUUUUUGUAACUACAUGGAAUGCAUAUUUCGUAGUCUUUUCAAUUUAGAACUAUGGAUUAUUGCUUCAGACUAACAUUUCCCUCAAAUCCUCGAUUUAUUUGGCAGGUUAUGACAAGUGCAGCUUCAAGUCGACUUAGCUCAUUGCUUGCUAUAAUACAUAGCAUUUGGAGACUUACCAAAUAUUGAAAACUUCUUGUUCCAAUGUAAUUUUUUAUGCAACGAUAAAUUCCCUUACUUAAUUAGAUACAUUAUUUGGAGUUACCUUGAUCAUAGUAUAUUCCGCCCUUGCUUAAUUUUGUGUAGUUCUAUAUAUUUCUAAAAUGGUAGGUUUAAUAUAUAUAUUCAUGACCAUAAUUUGAUAUUUAGAGAUGUAUGUAGCUCUAUUACGUUUCUGGUUCUUUAGUUUAAAACUUAGAUAAGCACCCAUCUUUUGUGUAUUACUAUCAGCGUUAUAAUCCUUGAAAACUUAGAUAAGCACCCAUCUAAAUGCAUAUAAGGUUAAGACAAUACCGACAUCAAAAUGCAGGUUGAAUACAUUAUCCGACUAAAAUCCAUUUCGCUUUCUUCAUGCAUGUGCUCUACAGUUAUCUUCAAUGAAUAAAACAGUAGUUACCUUCAGCCAGCUUGUAAUAUGUUGUCGCACCUGCGAAGCUAAUUUGCAUUCAAAAAAUAAGUGAGAAACAUUUUCCUGCGAAGCUAAUGAAGUGUACGGAAAAAUAAAUAAAAAAUUUACAUUUUAUUAUAACAAAGCAAACAAUUUACUCUAUUGCUUUUUUCUUUAAAAAAAAAUAAAAAAUUUACUUUAUUGUUUCGUGGUGUUUUUUUUAUUCAUUUACUUACUGAUAAAAAACUCAUAUAGACAAAAGAACUGAGUUAAGUGAGAAAAAAAAUGAGAUUAUAGCUAGUAUUGAUAUUUUUACUAAUGUAUUUCGAAAAAUAUUUCAUUCUGUUGGUGUAUAAAAAUUUACAUUAGAAGCAGGGAGGGAACCAUAUUUAACGGUAUAAGAUAGGAAAGAAAAAACAAAUUACUUUACCCAAAAAAAAAAAAAAACAAAUUUUUAUUUGCAAAUAUAAUGCACACAUGAAAUUUAAGAAAUUAUAUGUUACUUCCCUCAUUUCCUUUUUUUAAGUGUUUUUUUAGAAAAUUAACACAAAAAUCACGAAGUGUAUUUUUUGCACAUUUUCUUCCUAGUAUACCCUCAUUUUAAUCCACUAAUAAAUUUCAAUUGUUUUGCAAACACUUUAUCUUUCCAAUAAAUUUAAUAUGUUAUAUUUCUCUCAUUGUGAGUUACUAUUAUCUUUUUCUCCAACAAAUUCCUAUUUUUUUACAUGCACUCUCUCAUAACAAACAAUUGUCAAUUUUCUAAAUAUUGUGUACAUCUUUUCAAUUAUUUUAAGUCAAUAUAAAAAUUAAAUUGAUGAAACUUCUUCUUCUUCAUUGUCAUCUUGUUCUUGUUCUUGUAUCUUGUCGAAUGAGUUUUCAACUAUUGCUCCCUCUUCACAUCUCAUCAUCAAUUUCAACGAGUCUUCCACUUUUUCAUCCUUUUGAGCAUACUACAUGGAGUCUUUUAUUUUUCUUCUCUCAAAUCUUUUAUUUUACUUUGCCCUUGAAAUUUUUAACAAUUGAUACUCAUCUUAGUUAUCGAAUUUUAACUCUUCUUGGAACCAUUGUUUGUAACAAAAUUUUGUUUAAAUUUGAAGAUAACAAGAAACAAACUUUGUUUAAAAAAAAACUGUGUUCCAAAUAGAUAGCAUUAAUUAGUUUUAUUGAAAAAGCUAAAAGUAAUUGGCAAAGGGUAUAAUUGACAAAUCGUAAUUUAAAAUACCAAAAAGACAGUAAAAUAGGAACGGAAAAUUCACCAUAAAAAGACACUUAAAAAUGAACGGAGGAAGUAUAUCCAAAGUUAAUAUGUAUCGAAAAUUGUGUUCAUGUGUAAUUUAUUUGUUGUUUUUUGUUGCCGUUGUUUCUUUAGUGGCACUUUGACUCUGUAAAUACUUGUCGGUGGUUCUCCUUUUGCAUACCUUAUACAGGUUGAACCACUCUGAUUUUAUUAAUAUCUCAUUUUGAUUUGUUAAAAAAAAAUGUAUCUAAAAUUAUAAGAAAUUUCAAAGAUGUUAGAAAAAUGAGUUCCUUGAGGCUUCUUUGAGUGUGACCAAAGAAGAUUUUUUUAAUAGUAGAGAUAGGAAAUAAGAAACAACAAGAAUGUAAAUGUAGGAGAAGAAAUUCAAGAUAAUAUCACAAACAUUAGUAGUGACUGAAAGGGCGCAAACAACACCGCGUGCAAUAUUUCUUACAGUUUGAGUGAAAUUGCAACAAAUAAUCACAAAUUAAUAUUCUAGUUAAGGUUCUUCUAAUUGCAUAAAAAAAAACUCACUUUAUUUCUCAAUUUCUCAAUGUUAUGCAUUCUAGUUAAGGAUUUGUGUUAUUAAAAUUUGAAAGUUAUACAAUGCUAAAUAUACUGAGUAAAAAAAAGUUCAUUAUACAAAAUCAUAUUAAGUUCACAGAAAAUAGUAUAGUGACAAAAAAAUAAAAAUAAUAAUAACAUACUAAUAUGAAGGGAACCAUGGCCUAUGUUAGUCUCCGUUCUAGUUUCAUCCCUGAUUGCAAAGUAUAUCAUAAUGCAAUCUUGUGUAGCUACGAUAAGAAUUAAAUAUUUUCAAUUAUCUACUAAUAGUAAUGAUUAAUUGACAAUGCAAGUACUCUUUACACCUGCAUUGCAUAUGAAUUAGAAGUCACUUUGUUGGCAUAUCACUCCUCAAUCUUGUGAUCCUCCGUUCAAAACUAGCGGUAUGGUAACAAAACCCAUAUAUGUGGGUAUCCGUUUGAACCAAACUUAAAUUGACGGGUUUUUUUUAUUUUAAUUGGGUUUGGGUUUGUCUCGAUUUCAAAAGAUAGAUACGGGACGGGUAACAGGAAUAUAGGUACUCAUCUCAAACCCAUCCUGAAUGUAGAAAAUUAAUUUAUUACCCAUUUUAUAUAAAUAAAAACUCAAACCCUAAAUCAUUUCACUCAUACAAUCAGAGUCUCGGUCUUUCAGAUGACACAAUUAUCAUAGUUCUUUCUUUUCUCCUUCAAUAUUCCACACUCUCAGCCUCUCUCUUCUUCAUCACCAUAGUCAUCGAUCGUCGUCAUCUUUUUACUGAAUAAUGCAUUAGUCAUUACAACUUUGCGCUCGGGGAUAAAAAAUACUUUUAUUUUUAAUAAAAAAAAAUUAUCCACUUCGGGGAUGGGAAUGAGGCGGGGAUGCCCAAACCCGUCGGGGACAUGGAUGAGAUUCGAUUUCUCAUCUCCGCUGAAUAUGGGUAUGGUAACGGGUAAGUAUUUGAAAAUAUGGUAUGAGGACGGGGAAGGUAAAACUCAUCCUCACCCUACCCCAUUGUGAUGCCUAUUCAUGAAGCACAUAUAUUUAGGUAAAUAUUAGAAUAGAAUAACAUUGGAAUGAAAUAAUGACAAAAUUAUCUCUUCACAUGUUUCAUAUUGAGACUCUUUUAUUUACAAUGAGUUCCUUAUUUCGUCGUUAUAGUUUAAGUGAUUUCACAUCACAUACUAUACCCUAACAACAAAGACAUAUUAUGCCACUUGGUUUCGGUACACAUUUCAUUGUCACGCAUCGUCGUCUUAUGGUUGUUGUGCCUUCAAUUUAGUUAAAACUAUGGGCUAUUGCUACAGACUGACAUUUUCCUCAAAAUCAAAACCACCGUUUAUUUGGCAGGUUAUGCAACUUCAUGUUGACUUCCUUCUAUUGAAAACCUCUCUUUCCAACGUAAUUUUUACGUAGCAAUACAUCCCCUUUGCUUAAUUAGUGACAAUAUUUGAAGUUACCCUACCUUGAUCAUCAUCAUCCCUUGCUUAAUUGGUGACGAUAUUGGAAGUAACCUUCAUCAUCUUCUUUGUGGUUUUUCUAGGAAUUCUUUAGGUGUCUUCGAGUUUGGAAGCAUACAAUCAUUUUUGUAAUAAUUAAAAAUUAAAAUUGUUACAAACUUCUAAAACACGGAAGGGUGAUUGAGUUGUCCUCGUGGAGUCAUGUGUCCAAUUGGUUAUAUAUACAAUCAUAUUAUAAUAGUCGUAUAUACGUAAACAUUUUUUAAAAAAAUAUGUACCACACUUUAAAAAUUCACAUAUGCAUUAAUUAAUUUACUUUUAACCUUAUCUUCUAAUAUAUUAUUAUAAAUUAAUUAAUAGUUAUUUUAAGAAAAACCAAUAAACAAUAUAACGCAAACUUGAAACAAAGAGUGAAUCAAGGAGAAUCUACAAAAUAAGUAGAGUAAUGUAUAAUUAAUACAGAAAAAAAAUUAACAAAUAAAAUUUAUCUCACCUUACCAAUGGAGAUUUUAUCUAUUGGAAAUGGUUGAUAUACUUACAAUUAGUUUUCGACACACAUCGAAUAUGAUUAUCUCCAAUUUAUGUGGCGGAAAAACUUAUCACACACGUUAGAAAAAGAAAAAAGUGUUUAUUUUUCUAGUUCCAUGAGUUUCUACAAGGUUUUUUUUACUUCACUAGCUAGUGAUGACUCGCAUGUGAGAUUUGCGAGUGCAACUUAACAUAUGUGAUUUUGAGACCACGAGAGAAGCAUAUAAUUUUUUUUUUUAAAGUACUAUAAAAUAAUAAUAAAAUUUGAACAUAUAUAUGAAAUGUGGUUGUAUCUUUCAGCAUGGAUUAGAACUUUGUUUGUCAUGUUUAUGAGAGUUUAAUCUCUUGCGCUAAAUUCAACCUUAUUGGUGAAUCUAGAUUUUUUUUUUUAUGUAUAUAUGUAUAUAUAUAUAUAUAUGAUGUUUCUAACCUAAUUAAGAGUUAUAUGUUGUAAUAAUAUUAUAUAAUUGUCUUUUUACUCCUUUUCGAUCUUGAGUUAUUUUGGGACGGGAAAAUAUCUUUAUUUUGGUUUUCAUAUAACUAUUCCCCCUUUUUUGUGAAUCCAAAGCAUUGCUUGAAAACUUUUAUUAUCAGCAUUGCUCGAAAGUUGAAACUAUUCCCGCUGGAUUCAAAGUUUUCAACUUCACUAAUUUCUUUGAAAAGAAAAUACUAUAAAACUUCACUGACAUGUUACGUUACAUUUGGAAGCCAGUCAUGUACCGUAAUAAUUGAAGAAAAAAUAUUAUCAGCCGACACUAAAUGCAUAAAAGGUUAAGACAUUACCGAUCCAUGUUUUGUCGUUGAACAAUUAGUCAAAUGUUAAUUGGUUUCAUUCAGAAUUAAGUGUAAAAAAUUUGAUGAUGAUAAUGAAAGAGACUUGAGUGUAUUACCCGACUAAAAUCCAUUUCGCUUUCUUCAUGUGCUCUAGAUCUACAAUUACCUGCUACACAUUCCAAUGGAUAAAUUCUGGUAAUUAUAAAUGUGAUUACUUAAAAUAUAUAUGGUGGCUUCUUAAACUAAAUUAUAUAAAUUGUUAUCGUUAAAAAGCGACUUUUAGAGUUUAUAGCAACAAUCGUAUCUAUUUGUUCACGGGUUUUUGGAUUAAGUUAGAUUUAGGCUAUUGGUCAUUUCAGUCCACUUAUAAAAAUGGAAGGAUGGAUAUUAUUUUAUUAAUUUACACCAUUCGGAGAAUUUCCUUAUUUUGUAUCAAGUCAAAUAAAAAUUAUAGCCUCAACUCUGGCAAAUUAUUUGCAACAUGUUACCCAAUAGUCUACAUUAUAUAUCUAUUAAAAAUCUUAAUAUCUUGUACAAACAUUGUGUAUAAAUCUUUAUUCGAUCAGUUAUAACAAAUUACAUAGACAUAUAGUGUGUUCGAUCGAGAAAAAUAAAUAAAAGAUUGGACAUGAUAACUACAUUUAUACUAUGUGAUUGUAAAACUACAUCAGGAACUAGAUAAACUUAGAGGGUAAAGGACACGAUAAAAAUUGAAAUUAUUAUCAUUUACUAAAUCAGAAUACAACUUUUUGCCUCAAAUACAAGUGAAUAAAAUACCCAAAUAGACUUUUAUCCACCAAGGAUCGUCGUCUAAGAUAAAAAAAAUUGUUCAAUAUAAUUAAAGUUAGUAAUGUGUCUUAUGUCUUAUUCCGUGUUCUUAUGUCCAAUACUUACAUUUUUAGAUAAUCAAACGUAUUCAUCCUGUUGAAGUACAUGGAGUCGAUACAAGUUAAGAACACAGUGGCUUGGGUUAGGUGAUAGAUGUACAAUCGUAUAGCUUAUAGGUCAAUUCUAACAUGUUUCUGAAAGUCAUUUUGUAUGGAGGUGUGUUAUUUGAACAAUCAUUUGAAUGAUAACUUUUGUGACAACCACUAAUUUACAAAGGAAAGUAGAUAGUGACACGGAAACCAAAGUAAUAGAGAGAUAAAGUAAAAAAAUAAUGUGAGUAUGAAAAAUAAAAUUGUCACAAAAUGGUUGUCAAAAUAUCAUUUCUCUUUUGUAUAACAUGCACAAAUAUUUAAAAGAUAAAUGAUAUUUGUAUAACCAUUUUUUUGACAACUUUUAGACAAUUUUCUCUCUCAUAUUCACGUUAUAUUCUUAACCUUUCUUUUCCUUUUUCUCUCUCCUUUGUUUUUAACCAAUAAAAAGAGAGGAAAAAAAAGUUGUCAAGAAAGUUGUUAGCAAAUAGUUGUUCAAAUAUCAUUGCUCGAGUUAAAAUCGUGCUCACUAAACACAAAUGAUUUUUGACGAAGUUUUGUGUAGGCACAAGCAUUUCGGCGCACAUACAUAAAUCAAAAAAAUUAAAAGAUAAAUAAAACAGUCACAUCAAUCAAUAUCAUUUUAAUCAUUUAGUUUUUAAUUUUUUUUUAACUUCAUGGAUGCGUACCUAAAUGUGAGGUGUUGGUCAUAUGACCAAAUAAGAGAUUUUCAUGAUUUUUUUACCAUAAGAUCAAAAAGUUAUAUCAUAUCUCAUUUUAUUACAUUUUUUCUUUAAUGGUGGGGUUUAUUGGUUUCUAAAAAUAUAUCAAUUACCACCCUUUGUUUUCAAAUUCUUUAACCCCGUCACUAAAAACAUAAAAGUAUUUGGAGUAGGUUUAUUUUGUGAAAACAUUUUAAGUUUUCUAGAAUUUAUAUUUUUAAGCAAAAGUGAAUUGCAAAAAUUUAAGCGAGAUUUUUUAUCACAAGUUUACAAUUAUGGUGAAAUCGAAGAACUUAACUACUUAGGUUGUAAACUAAGAACAUUUUAUUAACAAAGAACCAAAAACAGGCAUGAUGGAGUGCAUAGACCAAAAUCUAAAGAAAAAACAUCAAACAGAAAUAAAGGGAAACUAUGUCGAUUAUUAUAACAACAAUCCUCUAAAAUAAAUCUAGGUGGAAGAGUCCACCAAAUAUAACGUUUAGAUUAAAAACCAAAUCCCGCUAUAAAUAUGAGAGAUUACAAUUAAUUGCAUUUGAGAACACAAUGACAAAGCAUUGCGUUGUCUUUUUUUUUUUUUUUUUUUGUCAUUUAGCUUAAUGGCUAUAGAAAUUCACCUUAAAGAUGAAUAAUUGAAGUGUCAUGCAUCGUCUGUUUUUUAAUCUCCACGUGAUAGACCGAGAAUUCUAAAAAGACUUCACCGAUAAUGACGGUGGAGAUUAAAAAACGUUCAUAAUUGCGGCCAACAAAACAAUUUGUGACUAAUAAUUCUAACCUUUUUAAAGAAAAACACGAAGUAGACAAGAAAAAGGAUGUAUCAAUAUGACAAUCAAUGGAAGUCCAAAGUCAACUCUAAAUGUUAACAUCAAAUUGAUUAACGUUGUAACUUGUAACACCUCGUUUUUUCAACUUAAAAAUUUCACAUAUAAAUUAAAGUAUUUCAACAUAAACAGAAUGUCACACUUCUUUUCAUAAAAUCAUAAACAGAAUAAAAUAACUAUUUAUCCUUCAAAUUCAACAGCAUAUCAUUUAUUACAUCGCAACGGAAUGUAUUCAACAUUUAAACAUCUUUUGCACCAAGGCCUCAACAUAAAAUCUCUUAAAGUUAUUCCAACAACAUGUUCAUGAAAGUUCAUAAAAUAAUACGUAAGGAAUAGAAAGCAACAACAAAAUUCUCAUCCCGUUACGUAUCAGGGCACCUAAGACACACGUGAGAGAUAGUCCACUCACGACAACAACUAACAGCAACUAUUCUCGAUCACCUGCAGGUUACCCAUAUGAAGGGUAACAAUUCCAAGCAGAAGGGGUGAGAUUUCAUAUUCAAAUAAUAAUAAGCAUAUAAUUCAUUAAAUGCAUUUAACAACUUAAACUUCAUCAAUUAAUAACAUUAACUCUUCUUAUAAUACUUCGUUAAUAACUCAAUCAAUUUCUAAUCAUCAUUAACUUCAUAUUCAUCACAUUAUAUACAACAUCAUAUAGCACAUAAUAAUCAGAUCAUAAACAUCAUCAUAUAACGACAUAAUCAUCACAUCAUAAACAUCAUCUUAUAACAAGAUAAACGAUACAUCAUAAACAUCAUCUUAUAACAGCAUAAACAACACAUCAUAAACAUCAUCUCAUAACGACAUAAACAACAACGAUUAAUAAAUAUUAAUACUUCACUUAGUUCUUUAUUAACAACUCAUUGACAAAUGACAACUUAACGACAACGACAAUGCGACUUCUACAUCUUAAACUCAACAUAUGCAACUUCAACUUCUUAAUCAUGCAUGUGGUACCAACCAGAGCAUCAAGCCCUCAACAUAAAGAGCAUAAAUACACUCACAGGGCAUCAAGCCCUCAACAUAAGAGCAAAAGCUCACAGAGCAUCAAGCCCUCAACUUCAAAUGAUUAUGCAUGGACUCAAAAACGUACAACUUAGACAAAUUCACAACUUAUAUGAUCCAAUAUCUUGGAAUAACAACUUACAACUUUACAACUUAGACCAACACUUGCAACUUAAUGACAAUAAUGGUUCAACAACAACAGAAACAGCAACAUAAACAUCUUGCAACAUAGCAACAUCAAUAAUAACAAUUUGAAUGAUAUAAACAAUAAUAAUUUCUAUAUCAUACAUUUUCAACACCUUAUAUAAAUAUCUUAAAUUAACCAACAAUCAUUAAUCAUUUGAUUCAGGCUCUCUUUAACUCUAUAACUUAAUAACAACUUCCAUUCUUAUCCAAAGAUCAACUCAAAACAUAGGUUAAAUACUCUUAAACAUCUUAAUUGAACUCAUAGUACUUCUAGUUUUGAGGUUUUGAAUUAUCCCAUAAGUUUUGGAUUAACUUAGAAAUGGUUAUGCUGAAUUUUCAUAAGAUUUCACUAAGACCUCUCUGGAGUAUUUUUUAUCAUAUCUCAAAAACCAAAAAUCAUUUUCAAAUCAAACCAAAGCCAUUGAAAAGCUAAUAAAAUUAUCUAAAACUUUCAUGUUUACAACUAGACACAGUUCAAAGCGGAAAGGGGUGAAAAAUAGUAAAAUAAGAAGGAUCUGAUUCACAAAAAUCGUGCCACGUUUUUAUGCCCAGAACCAUUGAACUUUCGGCCAACAAAAUUGUGCCACGCUUGCAAAAUCGUGACACGUUUUGACAGCAUCAGGUCCAGAAAUCUGCUUUUCAAAAAGUGCAAUUUUCACCAUUUCGCGCGUAAAAUUCAAACCGUUAAUCGGAUUUUGAUGCCGUUUUCGCCUACACGCUCCUGAAACUUGGCUCUAUCAUAAUCUACAGCUAUUUCAAGUCUCAACCAUCCCAAGAAUCAUUUUCCAAAACCUCACAUAAUCCCUUAUUUGCAAAAACGUUUAGACACCGACUUUUCAAGCGAAAAUCUCAAUUUUCAUCAACUCAACCCCAAAACUGGUUCUAAUCAUUGUACUGUGAAUAAUCUAAGGUCUGAACAUCGUUUCUUCAUUAAUUCAACAGGUUUCUAUCAUCUAAUCAACCAAUUACAACUUUUAACCCUAAUUUCCCAAAUUCCCAAAACUACAACCUACAACAUGUUAAAUCCAAUUUUCAGAAUUAUACAACUUAUAAUUAAAGAAUGUUAUCAUUCUAGGUUCUUCUCUUCUAUUGUUUUCUCCCUUUUUCUCCAAAAACUUGUUUUACGCGAUCCUUAUUUUCUAAUUCUAACUCUCCCCUUUUAUAUAAAUCCUUAACCUACUUAUUUUCUCUUAUUUCCAAAUCUACCCCCAAAGUCUCAAUAUUCUAUUCUAAUAUAUAUGUAUAAUAAAAUACUUCUAUAACAAAUAACAAAUAUAUCUCUAUAACAAAUAUAUUUAUGUACCAGAUAACAUAUAUAUUUCUUCACCAAAUUAGAUAUAUAUUUCUACACCAAAUAACAUAUAUAUUAUACUAAUAAAUACCAACAUAUAACAUAACAAAAUAUCACUCAUCAAAAUAAAUCGACUAAAUUAUAAAAAGACAUCUAAAUUCAAUAAAAUAAAUAAAUAUUAAAAUAGGGCGUUACAAACGUGCUUUCUAUCAUCGAUGAACCAGAGCAAAAUUACCAUUAGAUUCAAUCAAUGGUCAUGAUUUAUACAAAAUAAAAAUAAGAACAUUUAAGAAUUGCCUCGCACAAUCUUGCCCCUAUUAAACUUUUUUAUUUUUGGUAUUCAUCAUCUUCAACCUCCAUUCCAAUUUUUUCGUAAUAAAAAAAAAAAAAAAAACUCCAUUUCAAUUUAGGAGCAAUGCUACAAAAGAGAAUUUGCACAAAAAAUUGAGUGUGUCUUCAAAAGUUUACGGGGUUUGCUAAAAAUCUAGUUUAUGGGUUCAAUUGGAGGUGGUGACUAAUGAAAUUGGAGGUUUAACUCAUCCUUAAAAACCAGUUCAUAAGGUGAGUCACGCCCAGCACUCUUUGGGCUUACGUGAAUCGGUAGGUAUUUGGGCUUACGUGAAUCGAUAGGUAACUCUUGAAUUCGACAGGUUCUGAUACCAUAAUGAAAUUGGAGGCCUAACUCAUCCUUAAAAACUAAUUCAUAAGGUGAGAAUUGUCUCCUCUAUAUUAACUCUUAUCAAGAGUCUUAUCUUUUCGAUGUGGAACAUGAGUUUUUUUCAAUAAUGACCUUUAAAGUUUAAACACGCGGCAUCUUUGAAUUCUACAUAGAAAAAAAAAAUAGAAUUAUAGCGUGUUAUGUUUGUUUCUCUAGAGCAUGAGACAUUUCAUUGUUCAGUUUAUGUUGUCAUGGAAAGGCAUAUGAGUGAUGGGUGUACAUCAUCGAUCGGUGGUUUGAUUCUCGUGAAUAGAACAAAAAAAAUCUGAGCUCAAUGGUACAAAUCCUUACGAUGAAAGGUGAGAUAUAGUAGGAUUGUGUGUGGAUAGUUGUAAAUGUUAUCUUUUUUAAUUCUAGUAGAUCAAAAUUGUUAAUCUCAUUUCAUGGUAAAAAUUAAAUAGUCCAUUUGUGAGGGACUCAAUAGCUCCUUCACCUUAGACGUCACCCUUAAUUAAUAAGAAACUAACGGCGAGGGACUCAACUCCCUCACCUUAGACGUCACCAUUGAUUAAUAAGAAACUAACGAUUGAAGUAAAUAAACGAGAAAGAAACUCAAACUUCUUUCUAAACUUUCUUUCUCUUUCGUUCAUCAAGGAGGGGUGGUUUUUGACCUAGAAUCACCCCUCUACAUCUUUUUUCCCAUUUUCUUUCAAUCUAAAUAAGUGGUUUUCACAUACAAGUGUUUCCUUUUGUGUUUUUUGUGAUUUUGUCGUCUAAGUACAACGCUGUGUUGGUCGUCGUCUUGUGCGGCGUUUGAUUUCACGUCUUGUCGCGGCGUUCGUUUAGUUUCUAUUGAAAGAUUGACAUCGGUCAAUUAUAAAUCCAAUCAAUGAUUUGGGUGUGAAUGUUGCCGAUCUAGAAACAUGAGUAUUUCGGUGACUUAGAUUUAAUCAUAUUAGUUGUAGCAUUUUGUCAUUUUAUGUUAUUAACUUGGGUGCUGUGAGUUUGUUCGCAGUUUUACCCUUUACGUUUCUAGCGAUUUUUGUAUCUGAUGUACUCUAUCAAUCUGAAUGAAUGAAUAUCGUUUUGUUUUUAUUAAAAAAAAAAAAUAAAAAAAAAACUAACGGUUAAAAGUUUGCUCUACAUGCCUACAAUGAUAAUAAAUAGAGAUAAUUUACUACAACUUUUAAAACAAUGAUGCUCAUUUAUAGGAACUUUACCAUAAAUAAGUCUCCAAAGAAAAAAUGAUUUGGAUUGAGGAAUUGAAGGUUUCCAAAUAAGCUAUGUCCAUGAUUGAUCAUAUGCAGAAACUUGACAAAAACUAUCAGCAUCCUAAACUGAAAGAGAACCUGAUGAAGAACCCUUCUAAGCAAGAUAUUCAGUGGAAAACUAUACCCCGAUAUUUAUCAAAUUUCAUAUUUCACCAAUUCAACUCUCUCUAUCAAUAGUAUAUAUAUAAAGUAAGAUUUUUUAUGACACGUGUCACUUCCACGUUUAUUCGCAAUAUUUUUAUUUUUUUUCUAAUUUUUCAAAACCAAUAUUUAAUUUGGCAUAAAUAUCUCAACAAACUUUUGAUCUUAUCUAUUAAAUAUUUUACUUAACUAUUUAUUGAAUUCCUAAUAUUUUAUGUAAUAGAAAUAUCUCAACAAAAUUACAUACGAUACCCUUCAAUUAAAAAUCAUCAAUCAAUCAAUAGUAUAUAUAGUAAGGUUUCUUAUGCCACGUGUCACUUUCAUGUUUAUUCGCAAUAUUUUUAUUAUUUUUAUAUUUUUUAAAAUCAAUAUUUAAUUUUGUAAAAAAAAAAUCAAUAUUUAAUUUGGCAUAAAUAUUUCAACAAAAUUUUAACCUUAGGGAUGGCAAUGGGUACCCUAUCCCAAUGGAUAGGGUACUAUAGUACCCUAUCCAUUGGGUACUCAUUGCCAUAAAUGUAUUGGUCUAUUCUCCACUAUCAUAAAUAUAAAGUGAAAUAUAUUGAAUUGGAAAUGAUGAAAGUAGUAUUAAUUAGAGUUAUAAUUGAAAAAAAAAGUAAUUAAUAAUUGUAUUGAAAAGUUAAAUGCAUCAAGAUUUUUGAGACAAUAUUUUUUACAAAUAACUUAGUUAUUAUGGGACGGAGGGAGUAACACUUUAACAUGACAAUGAAAAGUAAAUUUAAGAAUUAAAAUGCAAGAAAUGAAGAGAAUGUUUCUCUAACACAAAACUAUUUUUUUUUUCUCUUUCACUUAUACACUUUUUUAAUGUGUAAAAUAAAAAAUAAAAAAAACUUAUGUAUAAUGAGACGGAGGGAGUAGUUAGUAAGAACAAAGUCGUCAAGGAACCAAUUAACUCUUGAUUUCACUUCCCAAAAACGUCUUGAUAGUGCUAUACUCCCUCCGUCCCAAAUUAUAAGCAAAAAAACAAAAAUCACACUUAUUAAGAAAACUAAAACAUAAAAAUUUGGAGUAUAGUUUUUUGUGUUUUCGUUGGAAAAAGUUUUAUAGGAAGAUGUAAAAACAAUUUUCAUUGGCUAUUGAUUAUGGAAAAAAUGAAAGAAAGAGAAAAUUGAAUGUAAUUUGCAUUUAAUUUUAUGAGAAUAACAAAAAAAAAUCUUGGAAAAGAUUAAAAUUUGUCUUUUUUCCUUAUAUUUUGGGACAAAGAAAAUGAAUUUCUUUUGCUUAUAUUAUGGAACGGAGGGAGUACUUGGUUAAGCUGGAUUGAGCAUUCAAUUCUAAUUUAAGGGCCUUUAAUUUACCUUAAAGAAUAAACAUAGGACAACCAACCACAUAAUUAUUUAUACCAAACAUUUUCCACCACGUGGGUGAUAUCUGGAAGAUGAGAGUCCAUUUAAGUGAGUCAAUGUGACGAAAAAAAAGAUAAAAUGGCAAUUUUAGGAUCGUAAAUUUCUGAAAAUAAUGGAAGUAGUAAUUCUUUUAACGUUUUCAUUGUUUUAAAAAAAUUAUCCAAUCAUAUUUUAUAUGCAAUUUUUGUUUUUUAGAUUAAUUAAACAAUAAAUUUUGUUAACCAGUGUCCUAAGGGUGAUGAUUAAGGAAUUCAAAUGUAAAAGUUUUGUCUUGUAAUUGUAGGAUGUUACAUUUGAUCAAGUAAUGAUUAUACUACUUUUUAUUAAAAACUUACUUGAUUUAGUUGUUUAACCAGUGUGAACACUAGUUAACAUUCUCCUUAAAUAAUUGAUGUUUCUGAAAUAUAAUAUAUAUAUAUAUAUAUAUAUAGCUCAGAUACAUCACUUAUUUAAUGAAGAGUUUUUUUUUUUUCCUUCUCUUAAUUAACGAAUAAAACUAACACUUAUAUAUCUACCAAAAAAAAAAAAAAACUAACACUUAUAUAAUAUAGUUCGGAUACAAUAUAUUUAUAUAAUAUAAUCCGGAUACAUCACUUAUAUAAUCAACAUUGCUAUUUACCGCGACAAGUUUUGUCCCGAAUGCAUCAAGAAUGAAAAUAAGCCAAUUAAAAACAGCUGUUAGUGGAAAUCAUGGGAGGUGGGGGAGAAAAAGAUGGAAAUCAUAAACUAAUGGAUGGAUGGCAUACAUGCCACAUGUGUCUGGAAAAUCUCGGGACAGUUUUAUUUCGUGUGAAAUAGCAUUUUUCCUUAUAUAAUAUAGUCCAGGUACAAGGCAACUAUCACCGGAUGAGGUUUUAUCUUUUUAUUAAUGAAUAAAACUUUUUUUAAGAAGCUAAAUGCAAAAUAUAUUAAAAACCAAAUUAGUUAAGCACAAGAUGUGCCAAACGAAAAACUGUGUAUAACGUCAAAGUAACAAACUCGAUAAAGAAAGAAACCACAAAUAAUAAAAAUCAAAAGCGAAAUUCAGUUUAUGUGUCUUUAGCCACCACAAAAAAUGAAAUUUAAUAUUGUCGAGAAGUUGAUCCUUAGAAGACACGUUGUUAUUGAAAUUUCUCGAGUUUCUCUCCUUCCAAAUUCUCUCCUUCGAAAUAACUCAAAGACAUGUCAGCACACCACUUUAAAACAAGAGCUAAUGUCCUUCCUGAAAGCAUGCGCGCCAAAAAAUUGUUGUGCGUGACAACCAAUAUUUGAUGGAACGACGGUAGUUUUACCCUACCAGAUCAACAAACACCCUACCAGAUCAACAAACAGGGAAAAUAAAUAAAAAAUAUUUUUGCAAAGUAAUUAAACGGAUUCUAAUGUUUAAUAGGAACCGAUCGAGGACAACAUAGAAAUCAUGCUGGAAUUUGAAGAAGAAAUACAAACCUAAUUAAAGAGAGGGGCUAAGUAUUUCCAAGCUGGAACUUGAAAAAGAAAAACCAUGCUCUAAUUAAGUAACUAAGUAAGGUAGUACAUUACAACAAUUGAGAUAAGUACGACACAUUAUGAUGAUUAUGACUUAUGAGCUGUUAAAUGAUGUUGUAGGAUUACUUUUUUCUUGUCAAAAAUAAAUAAAUGAUGUUGUAGGAGAAACAUUAUUAUAAACAUUAUUAUAACUUACAAGGACUAAUGUUUAAAAAAAAAAACUUACAAGGACUAAUAAUGAGACAGAACGAAAGUGUACGUGAGUGUAGGAGACACGUUAUUAUAACAUUUUAUAAAUAUUUAAACGUUGAUAAUAAUUUUGUCGAUCUAUAAACCACUACCAAUUCCUAGUUAAAUAUAUAAUAAUUUUUAUUAUAUUUGUUAGUUGAUGGUAAAAGAUGAAUAUAAUUUGUUACUAUAUUUUUUUUUGACAAAAUAAUUUGUUGCUAUUUAAAAUUCAUAAAUAUAGUCUAUACAUAUAAUUUUAAUAAAAAUAAAAAUUCACCCAAAAAAAAAUCAAAAAUUUCAUAAAAAAAUAAAUAUUGUUUAUAAUUCACGAGCGUUGUCGCAGUACAAAAAUGGAUAGAUGGAUACCCAGUACUAGUAAUUAAUGAAGUUAAUUGGUAAAAUUUCACUCUUACUGGUGGUUGAUGGUAGGGGUGUUUACGGUGCGGUUUGGUUCGGUUUUGAGAGAAAAAGUCAUCCAAACCGCAAGAUAAAAAAACAUGCGGUUUGUGUAACACCCACAGCUGACGAGGGCAGGGGAGUGGUCACCGGUGCACAAGGCACGCCAAUGAGCGGCUCCCGACAGCUUCUAGAGGAACCGAAUCACAUCUGAAUGAGAGGGAUCCUGAGGCCGUGUAGGUGUGGGACUACAUGAAUGAAGGAAUGCUUAUAAGAAUUGUUUGGUAAUACCUAUAUCAACAAGGUGCAUCUUCUUUUUGGUACCCUAUUCCAUAAGAACUCCACAGUUAAGCGUGCUUGACUUGGAGUAGUCUUUGGAUGGGUGACCUACCGGGAUUCCCGAUAAGCAUGCGAGUGAGGACAAAACACGCUGAAAAGACUCGUGUUGGUUUGUAGGGUCAGUCGACAAUGCUUAAAGUCGUCUGGGAUGUUACAGUUUGGUUUGGUUCGGUUGGCUUUAAAAUAAAAUCCGAACCAAACCAAACCAAUAUGGUUUGGGUUGUAUCGGUUGGUGCGGUUUUUUUCGUGACGAUACGAUUUUUUGUUUCCAACAUUAAAAUCAAGAUAAAAAGCUGAAACACAAUAUAUUUUCAACAAUGUUUUAAAUUUCAUCAAACAUUACAAUUUCAUUUUCAUUACAAUGUUUCCAACAACAUAAACCAAAUUAAAAACGCGGACAAAAAGUAAUCUUAUUUUGUAAGAAAUGCAAAAGACUGAGAUGUUCUCAUUCUCUAAAAGUUAAGUAGCACAUAAAUACAUUUUUAAAUAAAAAGCAAAUAAUGAACUUAACAAGAGAAAAAAAAUAUGACAUUUUAUAAAAGUUUUCAUUGAGUUUCUAUGAGUAUUGGUCUUGAUGACAUAUGUUUAAUUAACAUUUUUCUUAUGUUAUGGUUUGGUUUGGUUUUGUAUCUAUUUGACAGUCUCUUUGUACUUUGAGCGACCUCUUUAGUACGCCUUAUGCUAAAGAGGUGUCUCUCUUAUUGUGAAUAUAUAUCAUUUUACCUUCUUAAAAAAAAGUUAAUUGGUAAAAAAAAAAAAAAUUUCUCUCUUGAUUUAUAUGAAAUGACAUUUUUUUUUGGAACAUGGAGGGUAUUGAUUUUUACACCUUUUCAAAAGCCACUCAAGGAUGAAUAUAGAUUUUUCAUGCAUCAAACACAAGAAUCAUUAGCAUAACAUGCUUUGGAAAACACACACAUAUACUUAAAUUAAUGGUUGGAGUAUCAAAUUUAAAAAUAUUGUUGUCAAUACAUACCCCGUCAAUCCUCCUUUUUUACCCAAUAAACAUUGAAAUGUUGCUUCUUUCGUUAAGCAUAAAAACAUCAAAGUCUAGCAAAAUGUUGUUUUUGCGAUGACACAUUUCAUAUAGUUUAAAGGAUGCAUGAUUCGAUUACAAAAACAAAAUACUAAUAAUUCUAGCACAAAGUUUAAAGCUAAGAUUAUAAAGCUUCAUAGCAUGUGGAUAUUCAUUUAGAAAUAUAGGAUUAGGAUUGCCCCUUUCAUCACGGGUCUAAUAGCACCACUUGUCACUACAUGUUAAAAAUGUCCUCUAGUACAACACCGCUUUUUACUUGAUUCCCCUUGUCCAUGAAAAAAUCAAACAAUAUUUGGACACAAAAAUUUGCCCCCACUUUCCUUUUUCUUCUGCCCUAGUUUGUUUGAAAACUCAUAUUGAUCAAAUUUGGCUAUGAAUUCAAACAAAAAAUUCACUCUGCCCAUUGCAUGUGUGGGACCCACAUAUAAAUCCAUGAAGGAUUUCAAUGUCCAUCCAAGUCAAUGAUUCAACAUAUAACAUUGAAUAAUUUAAUUCCAAUUUGCAGUAUUAUGAUUUAGAUUGAUUGCUGCAAUACGGUCCGUGAAUGUAACUCACGAGAAAGAGGUAUCAAGGUAUUUUAUUUUAUUUUUAACAAAUAAAAUUUCAAGGUCUUGUUCACCAUAUAAACCUCCUCACUCUCACUCAAUUCUCUUAAGUGUAUGACUUCAUAGUAAACUACACUACUUUCUUUAAAACAUGGCUAACUAUGCUAUAGCCAAUGUUUUGAUCCUUCUCUUGAACUUGAGUACCUUACUCAAUGUUCUUGCUUGCCCUUAUUGUCCUUACCCAAGCCCUAAACCACCUUCACACCACCCUCCUAUUGUUAAGCCACCAGUUCACAAACCACCAAAGCAUUCUCCUACUCCUAAACCACCAGUUCAUAAACCACCAAGAUAUCCUCCUAAACCAUCACCUUGUCCACCCCCAUCAUCAACACCAAAACCACCUCAUCAUCCCAAACCCCCAGCAGUACACCCACCACAUGUUCCAAAACCACAUCCACCUUAUGUUCCAAAACCACCAAUUGUUAAACCUCCAAUAGUACAUCCACCUUACGUACCAAAACCCCCAGUUGUGAAACCACCACCAUAUGUCCCUAAACCACCUGUUGUGAGACCACCCUAUGUUCCUAAACCACCAGUUGUACCUGUAACACCACCUUAUGUUCCUAAGCCACCAAUUGUUUUCCCACCACAUGUUCCUCUACCUCCAGUUGUACCAUCACCACCACCUUAUGUACCAACACCUCCAAUUGUGAAACCACCAAUUGUUUUUCCACCACAUGUUCCUCUACCUCCAGUUGUGCCUGUAACACCACCUUAUGUGCAACCACCACCUAUUGUAACUCCACCAACACCAACACCUCCAAUUGUGACACCACCAACACCACCUAGUGAAACACCUUGUCCUCCACCACCAC
rnacentral:lncRNA from 1 species